rnacentral:lncRNA from 1 species
UUGCGAUCGGCUAAGGUUCCGAUCUUGAGAAAGCUUAUCAGCGAGUCGGCCGAUUUGCAGUAAUAACGGGAUCGGCUACGAGGCAACCGAUUACCAAGCAACGUUUGUAAAGAAAACUACUAGAGUAGUCUAAACAACGCUAUGGUAGCAACACUUGGAAUAGAUCCGAUCGGCUAUGUGAAAAGCGAUAAAUUAAGUAACAAAAUAUAAUAAAGCCGAAGGUUCUAAUUCCAAGCUGGAUAACUGGUGAUAAAACUAGAAUGACACGUAAAACCUAGAAUUCUAGUAAAUAUCGAUAACUGGUGAAUAAAUC